UUGCGAACAAUAUUUAAAAUACUAAAAUACAUGAAAAGAGAGUCCACGAUUUCAGUGCACCUCACGACGUCACGCGUGCACCUGUACAGCGCGCGCACGCCGACACCGAACGAAUAUCGGGGCCCUUGUACACUUCUACGCUUGGAUGCCUGAGAAUCUCCAGGUUCAGACCCGUUCAGUUCACAGACACCGUUCAGCCGUUGCGGCGUUGCCGUUGCAGCAGCCAGCAGCGCUCGCCAGUGGACGACCAGCGCGCCGCGCGCAGGUCGCAGGUCAGUGCGACCCGUGGCCCGUGGGGUCGAUCGGCCCUUGUCUCUGUUUCAUCACUGCCGUAGUGCCGUGCUCGUGCUCGUGCUCGCGAGGUACCUCGCUCUCUCCUGACUUCCCGCGUCGGCGUCGCCGGCCUCCUCGUAUAAGAACCGACAUCCGACACGCCGCCUUCGCACUCGUCAACCUCUCCGCUUUGCCUCCCUCCCUCGCGUCCGCGUUCCCUCCCGCCUCCAGAUCUCGAUGCGGCAGCGGCUCCCCUGACAGCGGAGGCGACGCCGGCACCAUGUCCUCCUGCGACGACGACCACGCCUCGCUCCUCAGAUCCCACGCUGGGGCCUCGUCGCCGUCCUGCCCCUCGCCGCGCGGUUCGGCGGGACAUCAGCACCACGCCGACGUCGAGGCGGACGAGGCCACCGUCACCGCCUCCCCGAGGCUCGCCAGCGGCGGCGGGGGUGUGCGCGGUCUCCUGCGCAACCUCGAGCGCCGCAUGUCCGCACGCGGAUCUGGGCCUGGGCGUCGCCAGCACCAGCAUUAUCAGCAGCUCGAUCGCUCCGUGGCGAUCGAGUCGCCGCCGUCUCAGCGGCAGCGGGAGAGAGCGGCGGCGGGGGAUGACGACGAGCUCGGGGACGGGGCGCCGCCCGAGUGGGCGCUGCUGCUCAUCGGCUGCCUCCUCGGGCUCGCCACCGGCAUCUGCGUCGCCGCGUUUAACCGCGGGGUUCAUGUCAUCCAUGAAUGGGCAUGGGCAGGGACUCCCAACGAAGGUGCAGCAUGGCUCCGCCUGCAGAAGAUAGCUGAUACUUGGCACAGGAUACUGCUGAUCCCGGUGACUGGGGGUGUGGUUGUAGGAAUGAUGCAUGGGUUGCUCGAUAUAUUUGAGCAGCUAAAACUUGUGAAAUCAGGGCAGAGGCAAGGAAUCAACUUUGUUGGAGCCAUCUUCCCAACCAUAAAGGCUGUCCAAGCUGCUGUUACCCUAGGGACUGGCUGUUCCCUGGGACCUGAAGGUCCUAGUGUGGAUAUUGGCAAAUCGUGUGCAAAUGCAUGCUCAGAAAUGAUGGAGAGUAACCGGGAAAGGCGUAUUGCACUUGUUGCUGCUGGCGCUGCUGCUGGCAUUGCUUCAGGCUUCAAUGCAGCAGUUGCUGGGUGCUUCUUUGCCAUUGAAACUGUAUUAAGGCCUCUUAAAGCAGAAAAUUCACCUCCAUUUACGACUGCAAUGAUAAUAUUGGCAUCUGUUAUAUCAUCUACUGUUUCAAAUGUUUUACUUGGAGCCAGACCAGCUUUUAUAGUGCCAGCAUAUGAGCUCAAAUCUGCUGCCGAGCUACCAUUGUACCUUAUCUUAGGAAUGCUAUGUGGAGCGGUCAGUGUGGUAUUUGAUAGAUUGGUUGGAUGGUUUUCAAGAUUCUUUGGGCACAUAAAGGAAAAGUUUGAUUUUCCUAUAAUAGUGUACCCUGCUUUAGGUGGGCUGGGAGCUGGUAUCAUAGCUCUGAAAUAUCCAGGGAUCUUAUACUGGGGUUUCACAAAUGUUGAAGAAAUAUUGCAUACCGGUAAAAGUGCUUCUGCUCCUGGUAUCUGGUUGUUAACUCAACUGGCGGCUGCAAAGGUAGUUGCAACUGCUCUCUGCAAGGGCUCUGGGCUUGUGGGAGGACUAUAUGCUCCAAGCCUGAUGAUUGGGGCUGCUGUUGGAGCUGUUUUUGGGGGUUCAGCUGCUUAUUUAAUAAAUUCAGCUUUACCUGGUAAUGCUGCUGUUGCACAGCCACAAGCUUAUGCUCUGGUUGGAAUGGCUGCUACACUAGCUUCAGUCUGUUCAGUCCCAUUGACUUCAGUACUGCUUCUCUUUGAACUGACAAAGGAUUACAGGAUUUUGCUUCCGCUCAUGGGAGCAGUUGGGUUGGCAAUAUGGGUUCCUUCAGUAGUAAACCAGCCAAACGACAGUGAGCCUUCUGGGUUUAGAACAUCCAGACGAGGUUAUUCUUCAAUGUCACCAGAAGAAAGAAAUGGCAGCUUAAGGCAAGGUGAUGUUGUGGAUGAUCUUGAGCUCAGUAUUAUACAAACUGACAUGAGUAACUAUGGAACUUAUAAUGCAGAAAUGCUUCUGGAUGAUUUGAAGGUCUUCCAGGCCAUGUCAAAGAUAUAUCUCAAAGUGUUACCAUCUGCUACAGUAACAGAAGUUCUUAAUCUGUUGCAUGAUAGACAGCAAAAUUGUGCCCUGGUUGUGGACCCUGAAGAUUUUCUUGAAGGAAUAAUUACAUUAGGGGAUAUACGGCGCAUGGGAUAUGGGUUACAUGUGGAAAGUUUCAUCAAUGGAGAUCACCCCAAGGCUGACGUACGUUUAUAUGGAUAACUCUUCUUCCAUUUCAUUGUGUCUUACUCGAGGAUUCCAGUAUCGUGGGAGCGAACGUGGAUUGUUAACAUGCUUUCCAGAUACUGAUUUGACCACUGCAAAGAGUCUUAUGGAGGCCAGAGGGAUAAAGCAACUGCCUGUAGUUAAGCGUGGUGUUGCCCAUAGAACUGCAGGAAAGCGCAGGCCGAUUGCCCUUCUACAUUAUGAUUCUAUUGGUUGCUGCGUGCGGGAGGAAAUAGAGAACUGGAAGACCAUAUAUCAGAGACUGGCUUGUUAAUAAUAUGAAACUACUUGGACGAUAUGAUUAUUCGUUUGAUUGCCGAGGGAGAAUAUUGUGAACUGAAGGUCAUGUAUCAGCGAAAAGCAGGCUUUCCUCUUGUAGCAAUUGUGCACUGAAAAACUACAGUGCCCUUAUGACACCACAACAGUAAGCAAGACUACAGGACAUCUAUGCGAAAUGCAGCUAGCCAGCUACACUGAUGUAGAGAUCAUUCAGGCAGUUUAACCUCUAUACUGUAUCAUUUUGAUUUCACGGUGAUCUGCAGGGGCAAGCCUGAUAAAUUCUGCAAAGACCUCCCAUUACUGCAAGUUUCAUGUGGCAUCCCUGCUCGUACCACUUAUUUGUUCUUGUUACGACCUGGACUUGUACUUUACGCGGGAUAGGAACGAAGUACAGACCUAGUGUAAGAAGGCGGUACUUUUUACCCUCGUACUGCUUGUAAAUUGUAAUGUGUAGCAUAUAUUAGAGCAUGAUAACUUCUGCUGCAUAUAUUCGUCAGUGUGAUCACUCAAGGAAUUUGUGCAGCAGAAUUUUGUCAUGUCGAUGUUGUAAGUUGAAGGAUCACAUUGCUUGUAAAAUUUGGCAGCAUGUUGUCUUAUCCUCGGAUGAGUAUGUUGUUGUAGAAACUUGCAUUUGGCCUUUGCUCUGCACACUCUUGUAUGUUGUGACGUAUUCAAUCCGUUCUGAUUUAUUGAUC